UAGGGAAUCUUCCACAAUGGGCGAAAGCCUGAUGGAGCAACGCCGCGUGUGUGAUGAAAGGUUUCGGCUCGUAAAACACUGUUGUAAGAGAAGAAUGACAUUGAGAGUAACUGUUCAAUGUGUGACGGUAUCUUACCAGAAAGGAACGGCUAAAUACGUGUCAG
rnacentral:rRNA from 1 species